AGAAACUCACCGUCGAAAAUCAAGAGGGAAAAGGCAUUUCAGAAAGAAUUACCACAGCAAAUAGACAUUUCGCCAUGCCGGAGACAACGCCACUAACAUCAAAUGACGCGGAGGAAGAUGACGCUCAACGCGGUAACGAAAUGGAUAUCGAUGAAGCCAUUGUAAGCGGCAACGUGGAGGAAGUGAAA